UGUGGUUCUACUGGUGUUACUGGUUCUGCUGGUGAGACGAUGUGUUCACAGGAAACCUGAAGCAGAUCAAGAAGAAGCUGGAGACGAUGACAUCACAGUACACAAUGCCAUCAAAAUAUCAAAUCACUCACAACAGCCAGUCACACGAAGAACAGACAUUUAUUCAGCUGUGGUCUACUCAGCAGUGAGAACUGAAGACGUCAGUUAUGGACAAACAACCAUCAGAACAAGGAGGCCCAGACUUUAAACCACAGCCAGACAUCGUCUACUCUUCACUGAAGUAGUCCACCAGUCCAACCACUGACGUACAUCUGCUGGUCUCUAACUGGUCCCCCCAGCAUCUCAGACCAGAGGACAUCCACAAAAGGAUAAAAAAUAUAUAUUUUUGUAUCUUUUAUGUUUUUUCUUAACCUCUUAGAAUUUUUUAUUGUUUUGCAUUUUGCAGCCAAAUCAUUGAUCAAAUGCACCCAACUCUUACCAAAAACAAAGCAGUUUUUGGUAAGAGUUGGGUGCAGUUUAUUGGCAUCAGCAGAAACUAAAUGAUUUAUGAUUUCUAAAUUCAGUAUAACACAACAAAAAAGUUAUAUUAUUACAUUUUUUUUAAUACACUAUGGAAGCACUGAUUAUUUGCUUGUAUCCAUGUUAAUAUAUAAAGUAAACCAUCUCCCUCUAGUGGCCAUAUAUAAACCAUGCGAGGGGAUGGAUUUAAUUUAAUAUGAGAAUCAUAGUGUUCCAGUUGGUCAUCAGUGUGUCUGCACAGCUUCAGUUGUAAUGUUGCAGUCUGAGACAACACUGGCAUCUCAUGGUGCAGUGUUGUCUGAUAGUUACAUUUUAGACACUGAAUCAAAUAAAUGAAAAAGCAACAACAACAUGCAUAAAAACAUCUUUUAGGAUGAGGUUAAUAUUAUAUAAAAUUUGAAUAAUAAUGAUCCAGUCAGUCAUCAGGGUGUCUCUGCACAGUUCUAAUUGUAAUUUUCCAGUUUGAACUCAUGGUGGUAGUGUUGCUAUCCUGGAUCAACAAGGAUGAAAGUGAAAUUCUUUAGAGCUGAUUUAAAACCAGUCUACUGACUAAUGGCACAGAGAUGUAUAUCAGUGUCUUGGAAAUUUUAUAUAAUAAAGUCUGCAACACGGAAA